AGGUCAAGCUACAAAGGGCGCAUGGUGAAUGCCUUGGCACUAGGAGCCGAAGAAGGACGUGAUAAGCUGCGAUAAGUUUUGGGUAGGCGCAAAUAGCCAGUGAUCCAGAGAUUUCCGAAUGGGGAAACCUACAUAGUUAACACUAUGUACUGUGCACUGAAUAAAUAGGUGUAUAGAGGUAAACCCGGGGAACUGAAACAUCUAAGUACCCGGAGGAAGAGAAAGAAACAUCGAUUUCCAAAGUAGCGGCGAGCGAAAUGGAAAGAGCCCAAACCUAAGCCUUUGGCUUAGGGGUUGAGGACAGAACAUAAAAUAUAACAGGAAUUAGCCGAAGACAACUGGAAAGUUGCUCCGCAGAAGGUAAUAGACCUGUAGGUGAAAAUGGAAGUUAUAGAGUUCUGAUCCAGAGUACCACGAGACACGUGAAACCUUGUGGGAAGCAGGGAGGACCACCUCCCAAGGCUAAAUACUACCUAGUGACCGAUAGUGAAGAAGUACCGUGAGGGAAAGGUGAAAAGAACCCCGGAAGGGGAGUGAAAUAGAACCUGAAACCGUGUGCCUACAACCGGUCGAAGCACUUUAUAUGUGUGACGACGUGCUUUUUGUAGAACGAGCCAACG
rnacentral:rRNA from 1 species